rnacentral:rRNA from 1 species
UACGUAGGUGGCAAGCGUUGUUCGGAAUUAUUGGGCGUAAAGGGCGCGUAGGCGGCCUGCUAAGUCGAACGUGAAAUCCCUGGGCUCAACCCAGGAACUGCGUCCGAUACUGGUUGGCUUGAAUCCGGGAGAGGGACGUGGAAUUCCAGGUGUAGCGGUGAAAUGCGUAGAUAUCUGGAGGAACACCGGUGGCGAAGGCGGCAUCCUGGACCACGACUGACGCUGAGGAGCGAAAGCCAGGGGAGCAAACGGG